AUUGAACGCUGGCGGCAUGCUUUACACAUGCAAGUCGGACGAGUGGCGAACGGGUGAGUAACGCAUCGGAACGUACCGAGUCAUGGGGGAUAACUGUUCGAAAGGACAGCUAAUACCGCAUAUUAUUCGAGCGGCCGAUGUGUGAUUAGCUGGUUGGCGGGGUAAAGGCCCACCUAGGCGACGAUCAGUAGCUGGUCUGAGAGGAUGAUCGGCCACACUGGAACUGAGACACGGCCCAGACUCCUACGGGAGGCAGCAGUGGGGAAUAUUGCACAAUGGGGGCAAGCCUGACGCAGCCAUGCCGCGUGAAUGAAGAAGGCCUUCUGGUUGUAAAGUUCUUUCGGUAGGGAGGCGUUAACUACAGAAGAAGCACCGGCUAACUACGUGCCAGCAGCCGCGGUAAUAC
rnacentral:rRNA from 1 species